CUUCCUUUAAGAAGCAGCCUUUAUAUUUUGGAGGGGGAAGGGGGGAGGGGGUAUGUGAGUAUAUAUGCGCACCCUUGCCAUCCUGGUGUCAGAAGUUGUGUACCAGCGAAGGAAGUCUGACAUCUGUACUGUUGUGCAUCACAGCCUGACUGAUCAACAUCAACAUCAUGAAGGGCUUCAUUGUAUUGGUUUUGACUGCUGCUGUUUUGCUGACUGUUACUGCUAAGAAUUCCAGGGAAAGAGGAGGAGGAAGAAGCAAUGAAGACCGUCGUUCCUGCAUUGGAAAACUGUGUGGCCGUAACAACGUAACAUGUCUGAACUGUGUCAACAACCUGAACCUGACGCGUUCUGUCUUGAAGAACUGUGUGCGUGGUUCAUCAGGUAUGUAACUCCAGACUUUCA